GUCAGCAGUCAAACCACCUGCAGUUCAGACUAGAUCCAUCUGACACUAAGCAGUUUUGGACCUGGCCAGUACUUGAACGGGAGACCAACUAGGAAAGCAGGGUUGCUGCUGGGA
rnacentral:rRNA from 1 species